rnacentral:rRNA from 1 species
AUGUCAGGGAAACAUCCACAGACAAUUCUAACUGAUGAAGAUGCAGCAAUGGCCAAGGCAAUCAGUGAAGUCCUACCUCACUCUCACCAUAGACUUUGUGUGUGGCACAUGAAUCAAAACGCUUGCAAGCACCUUGGUGGAGUUGUUCCAGAAUAUAAGAAGUUCAAUAGUGAUUUCCAGCAUUGUAUCUAUGACAUAGAGGAAGAAGAAGAAUUUAUAAGUGCAUGGAAUGAUAUGCUUGAUAAGCAUGGACUACGUGAGAAUACAUGGCUUCAAAGGUUGUUCGAGAAAAGGGAACAAUGGGCACUAGUGUAUGGUAGAAAUACAUUUUCUGCCCACAUGAGCACUACCUAAAGAAGUGAAAGCAUGAACAAUGAACUGAAGCGUUACAUCAGUAUUAAGUAUGACAUGCUUACUUUUUUCGAGCAUUUUGAACGGCUUGUUGCAGAUAAAAGAUUUGAAGAAGUGAAGUGUGACUUCAAGGCAUCACAAACUACUCCCAAGAUGAAGGCAGAGUCAAGCUAUAUAUUAAGGCAAGCUGUAACUACAUAUACUCCAGCAAUAUUCAAGAUAUUUCAGGAGGAAGUGCUUCUGACCCUGAACUAUGACACAUUCCUUUGUGAUGACAGUGAUACAGAGCAGAAGGUUUAUAUGGUAAAAUUUCAUGACACAAAACGUGAGCAUGUUGUUAGAUUUGCUCCAAAUGAACAAAGGUGA